UGCAAGUCGAACGGCAGCGAGGAGAAGCUUGCUUCUCUGUCGGCGAGUGGCGAACGGGUGAGUAUAGCAUCGGAACGUGCCAAGUAGUGGGGGAUAACCAAACGAAAGUUUGGCUAAUACCGCGUAAGCUCUAAGGAGGAAAGUAGGGGACCUAAAUAAGGCCUUACGCUAUUUGAUCGGCCGAUGUCGGAUUAGCUAGUUGGUGGGGUAAUGGCUCACCAAGGCAAUGAUCCGUAGCGGGUCUGAGAGGACGAUCCGCCACACUGGGACUGAGACACGGCCCAGACUCCUACGGGAGGCAGCAGUGGGGAAUUUUGGACAAUGGGGGAAACCCUGAUCCAGCCAUGCCGCGUGUAUGAAGAAGGCCUUAGGGUUGUAAAGUACUUUUGUUAGGGAAGAAAAGCUAGUUUUUAAUAAAAAUUAGUGAUGACGGUACCUAAAGAAUAAGCACCGGCUAACUACGUGCCAGCAGCCGCGGUAAUACGUAGGGUGCAAGCGUUAAUCGGAAUUAUUGGGCGUAAAGCGAGUGCAGACGGUUACUUAAGCCAGAUGUGAAAUCCCCAAGCUUAACUUGGGACGUGCAUUUGGAACUGGGUGACUAGAGUGUGUCAGAGGGAGGUAGAAUUCCACAUGUAGCGGUGGAAUGCGUAGAGAUGUGGAGGAAUACCGAUGGCGAAGGCAGCCUCCUGGGAUAACACUGACGUUGAGGCUCGAAAGCGUGGGGAGCAAACAGGAUUAGAUACCCUGGUAGUCCACGCCCUAAACGAUGACAAUUAGCUGUUGGGCUUUGAAAGGCUUAGUAGCGAAGCUAACGCGAGAAAUUGUCCGCCUGGGGAGUACGGUCGCAAGAUUAAAACUCAAAGGAAUUGACGGGGACCCGCACAAGCGGUGGAUGAUGUGGAUUAAUUCGAUGCAACGCGAA
rnacentral:rRNA from 1 species